rnacentral:rRNA from 1 species
ACGAGUUUGAUCAUGGCUCAGAACGAACGCUGGCGGCAUGCCUAACACAUGCAAGUCGAACGAGACCUUCGGGUCUAGUGGCGCACGGGUGCGUAACACGUGGGAAUUUGCCUCGGGGUAUGGAAUAACUCAGGGAAACUUGAGCUAAUACCAUAUAAUGUCUUCGGACCAAAGAUUUAUCGCCCUGAGAUAAGCCCGCGUAGGAUUAGCUAGUUGGUGAGGUAAAGGCUCACCAAGGCGACGAUCCUUAGCUGGUCUGAGAGGAUGAUCAGCCACACUGGGACUGAGACACGGCCCAGACUCCUACGGGAGGCAGCAGUGGGGGAAUAUUGGACAAUGGGCGAAAGCCUGAUCCAGCAAUGCCGCGUGAGUGAUGAAGGCCUUCGGGUUGUAAAGCUCUUUUACUCGGGACGAUAAUGACGGUACCGAGAGAAUAAGCCCCGGCUAACUCCGUG